UACGUAGGGGGCAAGCGUUGUCCGGAAUUAUUGGGCGUAAAGAGCGUGUAGGCGGCCAGAUAAGUCCGCUGUGAAAACCCGAAGCUCAACUUCGGGCCUGCAUCCGAAACUGCCCGACUAGAGGUAGGUAGGGGAGAUCGGAAUUCCUGGUGUAGCGGUGAAAUGCGCAGAUAUCAGGAGGAACACCGGUGGCGAAGGCGGAUCUCUGGGCCUUACCUGACGCUCAGGUGCGAAAGCUAGGGGAGCGAACAGG
rnacentral:rRNA from 1 species